rnacentral:rRNA from 1 species
ACGGCCCAGACUCCUACGGGAGGCAGCAGUAGGGAAUCUUCCGCAAUGGACGAAAGUCUGACGGAGCAACGCCGCGUGAACGAUGAAGGCUUUCGGGUCGUAAAGUUCUGUUGUUAGGGAAGAACAAGUACCAGAGUAACUGCUGGUACCUUGACGGUACCUAACCAGAAAGCCACGGCUAACUACGUGCCAGCAGCCGCGGUAAUACGUAGGUGGCAAGCGUUAUCCGGAAUUAUUGGGCGUAAAGCGCUCGCAGGCGGUCUUUUAAGUCUGAUGUGAAAGCCCACGGCUCAACCGUGGAGGGUCAUUGGAAACUGGGAGACUUGAGUGCAGAAGAGGAGAGUGGAAUUCCACGUGUAGCGGUGAAAUGCGUAGAGAUGUGGAGGAACACCAGUGGCGAAGGCGACUCUCUGGUCUGUAACUGACGCUGAGGAGCGAAAGCGUGGGGAGCGAACAGGAUUAGAUACCCUGGUAGUCCACGCCGUAAACGAUGAGUGCUAAGUGUUAGAGGGUUUCCGCCCUUUAGUGCUGCAGCUAACGCAUUAAGCACUCCGCCUGGGGAGUACGGUCGCAAGACUGAAACUCAAAGGAAUUGACGGG